CGGGGCAGGCGCCAGCAUCGGCAGCAGCAACCAAGAUUCUGCUACCUAUAAAAACCAGUUCCCCUCAGCCUCAGACUCUACCGUUGGGGAGCUGGCUACUUUACAACGCAAGGAAUACUACAGCAAAGGAAGAUAUCUGAGGUCCUGCUCCCACCCAGAGCUUGGAGAGGAUAUAGAAGAUGAAGAACAGGACAGUGAGAGACUGGGGAGGACAGUCCGGGGAGGAUAGCCUGGGGAGGACAGUCUGAGGGUGGGGAGACCGAACAAACAGCCUACCGGGUUCCCCAGCCCUCAUCGCAUGUAACCUCAUCUCAGGUUCUUCAGGUUUGACCUGGGUGACUGAGAAUCCCAAAGGUACUUCAGGUACCAUUGGAAACCCCUUUGGGUAUGACAAAACCAUCUAGGAUUCUCUGAGCAUAAGAGAAUCCCAACUCUAGUCAACCUGGUGAUGGCACCAUCUUUCUAAGCCUGGCUUGUACCAAACUCCCACCUCCCAGCCUCCCAAUCCCUAUUAAACCAGUAAGUACAUCAGCCACAGGCAGUAAAAGAGGCCUUAAACAUCCUGGAGUUGAAUGCUUACAUUAUAGAGAACAGAUGCUCAGAGGGAUUGAGCAUCUCCACCCUAACAUCAGCCAACGACUCCAUGCCUCCUUGACUGCUCUCUGCCGCCCCACCGCCCCACCCCUCUCUAGUUAGUACUAUGUCCUCCACAGUCAGUGGGUCACAAGUGUCAUCCAACUGUUGGGCUAAGGGGCGGAGGUGCCGAAGUCCAGGGAGCUCAGAAAAGGAACAUGGAAGUAACCAGAACCCUCCGUGCUGGAAUGGACGCAGACGUGAGCCUGGGCCAAGGCAAGGGAGUAACUCGCACUGCUCAGGGAGGCAGCUGGCUGAAGUGGGUAGGUUCUGGAGAUUUGAGGGUUACAUGGAUAAAAAGCUUACCCCUGCUGCAAGAAACCCUAACCUCUUCUUUCUCCAG
rnacentral:lncRNA from 1 species